rnacentral:rRNA from 1 species
UGGGAAGUAAAAAUCGUAACAAGGUUUCCGUAGGUGAACCUGCGGAAGGAUCAUUACAGUAGUCACCCAGGUUGCCGCAAGGCCUCCUGGGUAACCUACCACCCUUUGUUUAUUACACUUUGUUGCUUUGGCAAGCCUGCCCUCGGGCUGCUGGCUCCGGCCGGCGAGCGCUUGCCAGAGGACCUAAACUCUGUUUGUCUAUACUGUCUGAGUACUAUAUAAUAGUUAAAACUUUCAACAACGGAUCUCUUGGUUCUGGCAUCGAUGAAGAACGCAGCGAAAUGCGAUAAGUAAUGUGAAUUGCAGAAUUCAGUGAAUCAUCGAAUCUUUGAACGCACAUUGCGCCCCCUGGUAUUCCGGGGGGCAUGCCUGUCCGAGCGUCAUUACAACCCUCAAGCUCAGCUUGGUAUUGGGCCCCGCCGACCCGGCGGGCCCUAAAGUCAGUGGCGGUGCCGUCCGGCUCCGAGCGUAGUAAUUCUUCUCGCUCUGGAGGUCCGGUCGUGUGCUCGCCAGCAACCCCCAAUUUUUUCAGGUGACCUCGAUCAGUAGUCCAGUCCC